rnacentral:tRNA from 1 species
GGGCCCGUAGUCGACUGGUAAGACGUCGCUCUCACACAGCGAAAAUACUGGGUUCGAUUCCCAGCGGGCCCA